rnacentral:rRNA from 1 species
GAUGAACGCUAGCGGCAGGCUUAAUACAUGCAAGUCGAGGGACAGCACAGGUAGCAAUACUGGGUGGUAACCGGCAAACGGGUGCGGAACACGUACGCAACCUUCCUUUAAGUGGGGGAUAGCCCAGAGAAAUUUGGAUUAAUACCCCGUAAUAUAGUUGAAUGGCAUCAUUUGAUUAUUAUAGCUACGGCGCUUAAUGAUGGGUGUGCGGCUGAUUAGAUAGUUGGCGGGGUAACGGCCCACCAAGUCUACGAUCAGUAGCUGAUGUGAGAGCAUGAUCAGCCACACGGGCACUGAGACACGGGCCCGACUCCUACGGAAGGCAGCAGUAAGGAAUAUUGGUCAAUGGACGCAAGUCUGAACCAGCCAUGCCGCGUGAAGGAUUAAGGUCCUCUGGAUUGUAAACUUCUUUUAUUUGGGACGAAAAAGGGCCUUUCUAGGUCAACUGACGGUAGCAGAUGAAUAAGCACCGGCUAACUCCGUGCCAGCAGCCGCCGCCGUAA